rnacentral:lncRNA from 1 species
UUUAAUGAGUUAGGAAUUAAUUUUGUAAUUUCCUUUUUAUUUUUGUAGACAGCAAUGGAUAAAUCUGAGAGGUACAAUUUGUUAAUUAAAUAUGAAGGGUGUGAGGAGAGAAUGAACAAUUUGUGGACAGGUGUACAGGUUGUGAGUUUUUUGUUGGAUAUAUUAAAUAUGCAACAUGUUUUUUUGGACAGAUUUGGUGAGUUUUAAUUUAGUCUAAAUUGGAUGAAAUUGUGAUUUUUUUUUUAUAUAAUUAGUGUGCAGUUUUUUAUGUUUAUUUUUUUUUCACAGAUUUCAUUUGCAGGUUUUGGGAUCUUUUGAUGUGCAGCUAUUUUAGAUAUAUACUAGUCAUUUCAGAUAUGCAGAUAUUGUAAAGCUAUUUUGGACAACUUUGAAGAAAUUAGAUAGGUUUUUUGCAUAUAUUUUGUAAUGUAAUGGAAAAAAUUUCAUUUGCAAUGUAAUGGACUUGAUCAUG